UAAGCAACAAAAAUUGGGCCUGAGAAUACCAUUAUCAACCCUAAAUGCAAAAAAGAAAAGGGAAAAAAAACCUUAUCUUGUUCUGAAAUCUGUGUCUUUUUUAGUCUAUAGAAAUAUCUGAAUUUUCUGGGGGAAGGUAACCUUCGUAAGCAAUGGCUUCGUCAAGUGUCGUGACUACUCAAAUAUCAAAUCAACUUGGAACCACCGAUUGGAAGAAGUCCAUCCCUUCACUCUCCCUUGGUAACUUAAACUUGAAUAAAAAUCUAGCUGGUAAGCAGUUUUUAUCAUUGUCAGCUCCUCAAAAAUCUGGGCUGAACUAUAAAUCCCUACGUGUAAAUGGUCUGUUCGGAGGAAAAAAGGAAAAUGGUGAGAAGGGUGAUGAUGCACCUUCCAAGGCAGGAAUUCUUGGGAACAUGCAAAACCUCUAUGAGACAGUAAAGAAAGCACAAAUGGUUGUCCAGGUUGAGGCUGUGCGAGUGCAAAAGGAACUUGCCGCAGCAGAGUUCGAUGGCUACUGUGAAGGUGAGCUGAUUAAGGCAACUUUAUCUGGAAAUCAGCAACCUGUACGCAUAGAGAUCACUGAGGCAGCAAUGGAAUUGGAUGCAGAAAAGCUAUCUCUUUUAGUUAAUGAAGCAUACAAGGAUGCACACCAAAAAAGUGUCCAGGCCAUGAAGGAAAGAAUGAGUGACCUUGCACAAAGUUUAGGUAUGCCACAAGGUCUCAGUGAGGGAUUAAAACAACAAUGAUCUCUCAACUAGCACCUGGAUGGAGCUUAGUGAGGGAUUGAAGCAACAAUGAUCUCUUGACUGGCACCAGGAUUAGCUUCAGUUUUGCAUGCAAACCAAUGGGCUGGAUUUAAGGAUAGUUUUGCUAUCGAAAGCACUUUCGGGCCAUUUUGUACCUGCAUAACUUUCUCCGGCAAUGUAAAAUUCUCGGUGCUUGUAGGCCGGAAACCUUGACAUCCAUCUGGUGAGAAAUAUAAGAGCAUCCUGAGCUGUGUCAUUGAACAAAUUUACUGUCAUUAGGAUUAAGGAAUGAUAUACAUCAAUAAUAAGCUCUCGAAAAAGCUACGGCUCACUGCAAAAUCGAAAACAUUGAAACACCUGUCCGGUCGUCACCAGAGUCUUUAAGAUCGGAGCUCGUAUUUGUGUAGGAGAAUCCAACUCCAGCAGGUGAUUCCAGGAAUAGAAUGUUUGCUUCUGUAAACCAUAUGAAGAUAUCGAAUUUGUUUAAUGAACAUUACUAUUAACUUAAUACAGCUUUCAUAUGAUUAUCAUA